ACGGAAGGCAGCAGUGGGGGAUAUUGGACAAUGGGGGAAACCCUGAUCCAGCGACGCCGCGUGAGUGAAGAAGUAUUUCGGUAUGUAAAGCUCUAUCAGCAGGGAAGAAAAAAUCAAAAUUGACUGUACCUGACUAAGAAGCUCCGGCUAACUACGUGCCAGCAGCCGCGGUAAUACGUAGGGAGCAAGCGUUAUCCGGAUUUACUGGGUGUAAAGGGAGCGUAGGCGGUUCGGCAAGUCAGAUGUGAAAACCCGGGGCUCAACCCCGGGACUGCAUUUGAAACUGUCGAACUAGAGUAUCGGAGAGGUAAGUGGAAUUCCUAGUGUAGCGGUGAAAUGCGUAGAUAUUAGGAAGAGCACCGGUGGCGAAGGCGGCUUACUGGACGAUAACUGACGCUGAGGCUCGAAAGCGUGGGGAGCAAACAGGAUUAGAUACCCUGGUA
rnacentral:rRNA from 1 species